rnacentral:lncRNA from 1 species
AAUGCUGUUCCUUCCCUUCCUGUAAUAGUAGUCGGACCUGAUAAUUGAUGUGCAGCUGGUACAAAGAGAAUAAAUGAAAGACGUGUGACCUUGACUCUUGAGGCUAGUGUUUGAGUUUGGAACAAAAAGUGGUCAGUACGUGUAAGUGUUUUGUGGUCAGUACGUGUGAGUGGUGUUUUGUGAUGCUUUUGGUUCCCUCUUUCCUUCUGUACCAUUUUUUUUUUCCCUGGAAUUUGUUUGAAAUGUUCACAUGUACCUUGAUCGUAUAUAGCUUGAAGUGAGUGAGAUGGAACCUGAUAUUAGAAACUAUUAGAUCUCUUUGUUUAGCUCUAUAUCACAUAGCAGAAUGACGCUGUAGGUUUUUUGCAUUAUUUUUGCAUUACUGAGAUAGGAGGCUGGCUCUUUAGAUACAAGCAUAUUGAGAAAAUUCGCCCUAAAUUUCAAAGACUGAUCCUGAUCACUUGAUUUGAGAAACAUCCCAUUUCUUAGGUUAUGGAAGUAGUAAGCUUCUCUAUAUUUAAAUAUGAGAUGGGUGCAAGUGUAGUUUAUGUAUCUGUGAUACACGUCCUAGUUAAUAUGUACCAAGUCCCCAAGAAUAGAAGGAAAUUACUUGCACAAACUUUACAUAGAGAUCACUGCAAUUUUUUUUGUAGCCUGUUACAUUGCUGGAGGAUCAACUCCACUUGACGGAUCCCAACCUGGAGGAUUGAUGUUUGGCCA